GCCAUAACAACAUAAGCUGAUCCAUAGUACCAAUUACGUCGAUUGGACCCGUCAUUCCAGGACUAUCUUGAUUAUUCAACCACAAAAUCCGAAGCAUUGAAUCACGAAAACUAUCUGGUAUCUCACCAGUCAAACGAUUAUACGACAGCUUCAACGCACUUAGAGAAGGCAAUUUCCCAAAAAAAUCAGGCACAGGUCCAACUAUAUUGCAUUGCACACAAGAAAAAUUCGUCAACUGAGCUGAAUCUUGCAACUGAAUCGGAAUAAACCAUCCACUCUCAUUAAACGGAUUAUAAUCCAAAGCCAAAACUUGAACACCGCUAAGACCAUCAAAGAAAUCAGCAGGAAUCGUAUCGAAUUGAUUGUUAUCCAAGUAUGCAUAUUUCAAAUCAGACAAUCCACUAAAAGUAGGUAAUUUCCCACUAAAACCAUUCCCCUGAAGUCCAAGAUUUUGAAGCUUAUCAAGUUGAUUAAAGUUGUGUGGUAAAGUACCCUUUAAACCCAAACUCUGAACCUGAAUUUGGGUAACUCUGUCACUAGAACAGAACACAUGAGGCCAUGCAGGAGGACCACAAGGAUCAUUCCCCUUAGAAGGCCAUUUCAAUAGUUCAGGAUUCUCUAAUCCAUUUCUGAAAUCACUCAAAAUCUU
rnacentral:misc_RNA from 1 species